rnacentral:rRNA from 1 species
UACGUAGGCAGCAAGCGUUGUUCGGAGUUACUGGGCGUAAAGAGUGUGUAGGCGGUCCUGUAAGUUCGGUGUGAAAUCUCCCGGCUCAACUGGGAGGGUGCGCCGAAAACUGGAGGGCUGGAGUAUGGGAGAGGAAAGCGGAAUUCCUGGUGUAGCGGUGAAAUGCGUAGAUAUCAGGAGGAACACCGGUGGUGUAGACGGCUUUCUGGACCAUCACUGACGCUGAGACACGAAAGCGUGGGGAGCAAACAGG